GACGAACGCUGGCGGCGUGCUUAACACAUGCAAGUCGAGCGAUGAAGCUCCUUCGGGAGUGGAUUAGCGGCGGACGGGUGAGUAACACGUGGGUAACCUGCCUCAUAGAGGGGAAUAGCCUUUCGAAAGGAAGAUUAAUGCCGCAUAAGAUUGUAGCUUCGCAUGAAGCAGCAAUUAAAGGAGUAAUCCGCUAUGAGAUGGACCCGCGACGCAUUAGCUAGUUGGUGAGGUAACGGCUCACCAAGGCGACGAUGCGUAGCCGACCUGAGAGGGUGAUCGGCCACAUUGGGACUGAGACACGGCCCAGACUCCUACGGGAGGCAGCAGUGGGGAAUAUUGCACAAUGGGCGAAAGCCUGAUGCAGCAACGCCGCGUGAGUGAUGAAGGCCUUCGGGUUGUAAAGCUCUGUCUUUUGGGACGAUAAUGACGGUACCAAAGGAGGAAGCCACGGCUAACUACGUGCCAGCCGCCGCCGUAA
rnacentral:rRNA from 1 species